rnacentral:tRNA from 1 species
GCCUUCGUGGUGUAGUGGUAAGCACGCUCGACGCGUAUUCGAGAGGUCCGUGGUUCGAGUCCCGGCGAGCUCU